GAUGAACGCUGGCGGCGUGCCUAAUACAUGCAAGUCGAGCGAACGGACGAGAAGCUUGCUUCUCUGAUGUUAGCAGCGGACGGGUGAGUAACACGUGGAUAACCUACCUAUAAGACUGGGAUAACUUCGGGAAACCGGAGCUAAUACCGGAUAAUAUUUUGAACCGCAUGGUUCAAAAGUGAAAGGCGGUCUUGCUGUCACUUAUAGAUGGAUCCGCGCUGCAUUAGCUAGUUGGUAAGGUAACGGCUUACCAAGGCAACGAUGCAUAGCCGACCUGAGAGGGUGAUCGGCCACACUGGAACUGAGACACGGUCCAGACUCCUACGGGAGGCAGCAGUAGGGAAUCUUCCGCAAUGGGCGAAAGCCUGACGGAGCAACGCCGCGUGAGUGAUGAAGGUCUUCGGAUCGUAAAACUCUGUUAUUAGGGAAGAACAUAUGUGUAAGUAACUGUGCACAUCUUGACGGUACCUAAUCAGAAAGCCACGGCUAACUACGUG
rnacentral:rRNA from 1 species